UGGGGAAUAUUGGACAAUGGGCGAAAGCCUGAUCCAGCCAUGCCGCGUGUGUGAAGAAGGUCUUCGGAUUGUAAAGCACUUUAAGUUGGGAGGAAGGGCAGUAAGCUAAUACCUUGCUGUUUUGACGUUACCGACAGAAUAAGCACCGGCUAACUCUGUGCCAGCAGCCGCGGUAAUACAGAGGGUGCAAGCGUUAAUAGGAAUUACUGGGCGUAAAGCGCGCGUAGGUGGUUUGUUAAGUUGGAUGUGAAAGCCCCGGGCUCAACCUGGGAACUGCAUCCAAAACUGGCAGGCUAGAGUACGGUAGAGGGUGGUGGAAUUUCCUGUGUAGCGGUGAAAUGCGUAGAUAUAGGAAGGAACACCAGUGGCGAAGGCGACCACCUGGACUGAUACUGACACUGAGGUGCGAAAGCGUGGGGAGCAAACA
rnacentral:rRNA from 1 species